CCUACGUGAGGCAGCAGUGGGGAAUAUUGCGCAAUGGGCGAAAGCCUGACGCAGCGACGCCGCGUGAGGGAUGAAGGUCUUCGGACCGUAAACCUCUGUCAGCAGGGAAGAACGGUCACUGUGCUAAUCAGCAGUGAAUUGACGGUACCUGCAAAGGAAGCACCGGCUAACUCCGUGCCAGCAGCCGCGGUAAUACGGAGGGUGCGAGCGUUAAUCGGAAUUACUGGGCGUAAAGCGCUCGUAGGCGGUAUGUCAAGUCAAGGGUGAAAUCCCCGGGCUCAACGUGGGAACUGCCUUUGAAACUGGCAAACUGGAGUGUGUGAGAGGAUAGUGGAAUGCCAGGUGUAGGAGUGAAAUCCGUAGAUAUCUGGAGGAACAUCAGUGGCGAAGGCGACUAUCUGGCACAUAACUGACGCUGAGGAGCGAAAGCGUGGGUAGCAAACAGGAUUAGAUACCCCUGUAGUC
rnacentral:rRNA from 1 species